UGGCCCCAGGGUGAGAGCUUUCAGACCCCCUCUCUGCCUGCUGCUGUGGCAUCCAAGGUCAUCUACCAUUAAAGAGGAUGCUUAAGCCUUGGUAAGUGGAGGAAGACUGCCUAAAGGAAGUCUGAAGUGGAAUUGCAAUGGCUUAGAACAAAAUUGCCAUCCAAAAAGUCCCUGUUCUUAAAGACAGCUGCCUCUGUUGUUUGGCGAGGCAUUUCCAGUGUGUAUCAAGUGCUGCUCCCUCAGGUGUCCAUCUCUGAGGCGCGUCAUGCAGUCCCUUCUGUGUGCAGCCAGCAGCUGCUCCUUCCCUAACUUAAUAGCCCCCCAAUAAGAGACACAGGUUCAGUUCCAUCUUCAGCCCAAGGAGGCUUACUGUCUGUUUCCUGUUUUCCCAGGGAAUGCUCCGAGCACCAAAGCGUGGAGAGCGGGAAGGCAUUGUCCCACCUUCUGGCUGAAAGCUGGAUCCAAGAGCUGAAAACAAAAUUAAGUCCAAGAAUUUUAUAGAAGAGGAAGGAACUGGGAAACAAAGGACUUUGUCCCUGAGUGCAACACCAGAGCUGGAGACUGAAGCUUACUGGAAGCACAGAAACAGAGCAGCAAAGCUGACCUCCUGCAAAAGGUUCUCCUGCUUCCCUGCCCACAGCUGCUCCCAGAACCCACCGCCUCCUGCAGCCCCAGUGCCCAGCUCACACAUGAGGACCAGUGUGAGCUUGGUUCCUGCCUGUAUCAGUAUGUUGUUUGUGGCCCACCAAGGUUUCACACACAUUGGUUGAGUACUACACCCAAACCAAACCAAGACAACUGAGACAAGAAGCUUGCAUCCAUUCUUGAAUCACUGUACCUCCAUCAGAAAACAGAAAGCAUUUUUGUUCCCCUUGCCGAUACAGCAGGCUGGUCCUUUCCAGUCAUGCUCUUUGCUGCUCUGUGCAUACUGUGAAAGAAAUUCAGAGUGAAGUUUCAUGUUGAGUAUUUGAAACCAGCAACCCAGAUGUGAUUUCGAAGACCACUGGCAGUCUUUGCUCAUUAAUCUUGCUGAAUCAUAGAAUCGUUUAAGUUGGAAAAGACCUUUCAGAUCAUCGAGUACAACCAUUCACCUAACACUGCCAAGUCCACCACUAAACCAUGUCCCAUUAGUUCAUAGGAAAGUCAUGGCUGAUUUGCUUUAGUGCAUUCCACAGAUCAGUAUCUCUUCAAGACAAAACUGGUUUAUUUUCCAUGGUUCCAAAAACCAAAGUCCAGAUGUACAGCCAGCAACAGCUGCUCGUAGCAGAAAUGAACCAGUGAUACAUAUGGGAAACAUAAGACCUUCCUAAACACACAGUGGUCCUAGAUUUUGGGGAGGGUGGUAUUGCUUGUUUGGGUUGGCUUGCCUGAAAGAAUGCACAAUCUGCCAGCAUAACAAAGAUUCAUCAUCCUGAUUAGGCAAGAUUUCCUAGCACCAUCUCCACAGCCUCUUCAUUCCUACUAAUCGAGCAUCUGGAACACAGGCUGCCAAAAAAACGCUGACCUAUCAGAUUCCAAAACAGAUUUUAGGAGACUUAUCUACUGUCUUAAACAGAUCUUCUGAUAAAGCUCCCACUCUACAGCAGCAGGUUUGUUGUAAAUUCCCACAGAGGUUCAUUUUAUAAUGGAGGCAUAUUAUUUUAUUAAAAUCAAAUUAUCACAGAACACUUUAAAAACGUGAAUUAAAUUACUAAGCACGCCUGCACUGAAGGUAAGCUUUAUUACUCGAGAAGUGAAGAUCUGUUACAGUUGAGUAAGGCCUAAGACUGAUCCUUGCAAGGAUGAACAUUGCACCUGGAAAAGACUGUGCCAGUUGAGGGAAGUGAUGACAAAAAUAUUUUUUAGGUGGGUUGAUGGAGAAUUCAGUACCUUGCCUGAGCACUGGGUUGAGCAACGUUGUGUUUAGCCAUCACUUUAGGUAUCCUUACUGCCUGCCUUCUUGUUUUCAAUCACAGAUUACACACUCCACCUGCUUCUCCAAAUUAUAUCUGAUGCCAGGAGUAAGCCAGAUCAGCUUUGAUGAUCCUCAUGCACUUAAGCAGCAGGUUGAUUUUUUCAUGUAGCAUUAUUUUUUGAUUCAAGUUUCAGUAUCAUUACAGGGUUGUCAAUACCUGUCAAUACUAGAACCACUGUACUGAAAACAGUCUUCUGAAAAUCAGCACAGCAGAAUCAGGCCUUUGGGUAUAAACCUUUCAGAUCUACCACCUUGUCUUGCACAUCACACUAUUUGUACGAUGAAAUAGUGCAUUUUAUUGUCAGGCAAGGAAUCCUAUAACCAAACUAGUUCGCAGUCUGAGAGAGAAGAGGUAAUGCAGGUCAUUGGCAAUGGUGCACACUGCCCGCUUCGCUGUCAUCACCAUAAAAUUCUGACAUACAUAAACGUUGAUAUAAAACCUCCCUGUCAUGGCAGCCACAAGCCAGCCACAGCUUCUAACCUCAGUGCUAUGAUGAUGUCCAAAGGCAGCUGAGAAGCGGCAACACCUGCACACAUUGCAGAGUACAAACACCUUCCCAGCUUUGCCAGCUUUGCUCCUCUGACAGGGUGCUGCAGCAGGGAUGGAGGAGCCUGGGGGCAUCUCUCUGCUGUCUCCUGGCUCAAAUGCCCAUUUGAGCUGCAGCCUCUCUGUGGAAGAGUUUCCUAUCAAAGUUGUGGGUUUAUUUCAGAAGCACAAGGGCUUCAUACUGUUAUUCAUACCACAGUAAAUAAAAUACAAAGCACUGUGAAUUCAUGUCUGAACUACCUACCAGUCAUUCUUGGUCAGCAGUCGGGAGAUGACAUCUCUUGCUUUGAUGGGUCUCUGAUUUUACUCUCAGAUCUCACUUGCCAUUUCAAACAUCCCUGUUCCCUGUGGUUAUGCUUGUUUUCCACCCAACCUUUUAUUUUAAGUACAGGCAGCUAAAAUGUAUGUUCAUGCUGUUGGAAUUAUUAGUGAUUCCUGGUCUUCAAACACUGAAAAAGUUAUAUUAUUGCAGCCCUGAACACUGCUGCAUAUUUUCACAUUUUACGUGCAUUUUUUUUCUGAAGUAUGAGUUGUUGCAAGUAUUUGUCAUUAGACAUACGCAAUAUCCACAUGUAUUUAGAUUUGCUCUAUGGAUAUUUGCAUAGCUAUAAACAAUGAGUACCAUUUAGGGUGGCAGAAUCAUAUCAUUCAUUACAUAUGACCAUUUCAUAUUUUUUAAAUCUCUGAACAUAACUCUGUUUCCUGGCUUAUAAUAAAAAGUUAUAAUGAAAAUGCAUCCUCAAAAGCAUCAUAUUUGUUAUACAUCAUUCUUUCUUUAUAAAAGUUUCAGUCAAGCAGAAACACUGAACACACUGGAUACUACAUGGUUUAUAGGGAUGAUAGCAAAUGGUUAAUAAUAACUGCUUGUUAUUCAGCUGUACAUCAACAUUACUUCCAUAUACUAUCAGGCAACUACCUAAAAAUAAUUUUACCUGUCAAAAUCAGAUUACUAACAAAUAGGGGAAAGUACUCAAAAAGACAUUGUGAAAUAUUCAAAAAAGUAAUUUUACUAGUUCCAUGCUAACAUCAUAACUGAGACAAAGUUGAAUCAAUCUACUUUUCCAAUGUAAUGUGCUAUUUAUAUAAGGGGGCAUUGAAAUAAAAGACAAUGGAGAAAAACACUGGAUAUCUGCAGAGGUGGAUAUACUACUUUGUAGCCCUCCAUCAGCUUACUUGAAAGCAGGGAUGAGGAAAUAAAUGUGAAAAAAACCCCAAUAUGAAUAGUUUGUUGGUUUAUAUCCCUUUUAUUAGACAUAUAAUUAAUUGUAUUAGCUAAAUUGCUAGUGAGCUGUGCUCAGGCUUUGCCAAGGGGAACAGCUCCUUGCUGAGGCUCCUGUCCCACUGGCCAUCAGCCCUGCUCUGCAGAAGAGCGGUGCAGAUUCAGAAGAGGACAACUGUGGAGUCUGAAAUCACUUCUGAAAGUGAUGUAGCUGCUAUAGUUAGAGAAAAAUCAAAGUCACCUCUUGCUUAAGCUAAAAAUGUCCACCCUGUAGUCCUUUUAAACUGGGAGAGCAGCUGCCCCCACCGCUUCCAACUUUUUGUGCUGCAGGGGCCAUCCUGCCUGGGUGCUGAUCUCCUAACCCAGAGCGCUAACCACCUAGGCUGCAUUUUAUUCUCAUGCACCACCCUAAGCCCAGGCUUCAGGCACGUCAGGCUCAGCCGACUGGCAGGCUGGUGACUGCAGCUCUCAUAGCUGGGCUGAAAGGCCUUAGGAGUUGAGGAGCGAUGGACCUCGACAAAACUCUUUUGUCUUGUUUGGUUCCUCAUCCUCUCCCUCGUCUUUGUUGAUGGAGCUCCCACGUGGGUGGGAUCUGAGGGCAGUGCCCUGCCCUGUCAGCCCAGGUGAUUUGUCUGGGGGUGACAGGGAUGGGGCUCCAUGCCUCAUCCCUCCUGCAGGAUUCAUCCUCCCCUUUUGUGCCUCCCCAGAAACUCAAACAGCAAAGCGUGCUCACAGGUGUUGGCCUGGCUGGAGCCGCAUGGCUCACCUUGUGUCACCCCACGCCUGCAGCACACUAUCUGGACAUACCCCAGCACUGCAGUGGGGGCACCCAAAAUUGCAUUCACUGCAUUCACUGCAUACAACUGUACCCUCCCUGCCUCAGUUUCCCCACCGUUUAAAAUGGUGUUACUAACUCGCACAAUGGGCCAUUAUAGUUAAUGAGCAAACAUCUCUGAUGUGCUCUGCAAAGAAAAGGCGCUGCAUGCUCUUAGAGCUGAGUAUACUCAUAUCUUAGAACAAAGCUGUUAUAAGAACACAGAACUUGUGCCAUGUACAGUAGACAUUUCUAGCAUAGCUUUUAUUGAGGUUAAUAUAAUAUUCAUAACACUGCUAAAGGACUAUUUGUUGGACUAAAGGAUUUUGCUACUGGCAUUUAUCUAUAGAAAAGUUUUUCUGUUUUAUGCCCACAUACUAGCAUAUAAUUAUAGUAAUAAAGUCUAGUCCCUUCCUUGAAGUGACUGCUGCCAGUAUUAUGAAAUCAUGGCAAUAGCUGUAAAAAUAAAAGAGGUCACAACCCCUACACACACACACACACCCACUCUGUAGCUAAUAUCAAAUAGCUUUGGUGGGAAAAUGCAGACCUUUAAACUUUCUCUACCAAACUCAAUGCAUUCUGUAUUUAACUUAUCCUCUAAAACAGUUUGUGUUAUAGGAAUUUGAAAACUGCAUAUAACCAUGGAAAAAGUCUGUACUUAAUUAGCUACUGAGUCCAGCUUGAUUUAACCAAAAUAACAACCAUUUCUUUGUGCUAACUAUUUUUAAUGAUAUGCAUUACAUGCAUCAGCCUGUCCUUAUGCCAAGGCUCUUCGAGCAUCAACUCCUGCUUCAUUGUUCUAGUUUUGGCACAAUGAAGUAUCAGGAAAUGUCUGCACAGAGGUGCUUUUUCAUGUCCAGCAGGGCAAGAACAUUUCAUUCUCAGGAACAAAGCCAAUUAUCUCGAAAUUGUAGUGGCAUCAAGCACAAUACAUUACAAGCUCUCAGGUGCCUCCUGGGAAGGCAGCACAGGGAGCUGGAGAAAUGGCAAAGGCAGGUAGGAAAGGCUGCUAUCUGUGUUCUUUGUGAGACUUUUCUAGGGUCUUCUACAGCAAAUACCCCUUCUUCGCCAUUAUAUAUAAGCAGCAGAAAAAAAGUGUUAGGGGAUUUGUGUUAGUUGCGCGAGAAGGAAAAGCAGAGCGAGUACAACCUGAGCCCCACGUGUCACAGCAAAACAUAGAAGGCAGCACCCACAUGCAGCACCCAGGACGAAGUGAGUCUGGCUUUAGCUGCUGAGCAUCUUCAGAUGUAAACCUGCACAUAGAGGUUUUUAGUGCCUUCCUUUUAGGAUGCUUACACUGAAGCCCUGGUUUCACAAAGUGUUCGAGCUGCCCUGCUGAAGGAGCUUGAACUUCUUCAGGUGUUCAGAGCAAAUCUCCAAAAGUCAUGCCCUGCAUGUGAGUGCAUUUGACAUCACUCAUUACUCAAAAAAUUGCAGCUUCAGAUUUGGCUGUGGCCAAAGGAAGACAGAAUUGAAAGUACAGUCAGAAAGUAAGAACAGAAAUUACAGAUAAAUCAAAAGCAUAAGACUGCUGCA